rnacentral:rRNA from 1 species
GACGUAGGGGGCAAGCGUUGUUCGGAAUUAUUGGGCGUAAAGCGCUCGUAGGCGGGACAGGAAGUUCGUGUUGAAAGACCUCGGCUCAACUGAGGGACCGGCUCGAAUACUCUUGUUCUUGAGGCAAUCAGAGGGUGAUGGAAUUCCCGGUGUAGAGGUGAAAUUCGUAGAUAUUGGGAAGAACACCGAUGGCGAAGGCAGCCAUCUGGACCGACACUGACGCUGAGGCGCGAAAGCGUGGGGAGCAAACAGG